rnacentral:lncRNA from 10 species
CCACAGUAACCAUUCGCCCAAGGCCAGAGUGGUUGAGGGUACUACCAUUCCUAGACAAAGAGGGGACCAGAGAGAAAGGUUUGGCCUGGCCUUGGGAGAGGAAGCGCUCUGGACAGCCUGCCUCUGCUUUCUGUAUUGCAAGAUGAGGAUGGUUCAUCAGGCUCCCCUGGGCCCGCGUGGAAAGACCCUUCAACACUCUUGGCCCCUCUUAGCAUAGGCCCACCAGACCACCACUGAUACCCUCAUUUCACUUGCUGUGGAUGGAAACCUGAACGUGUCAGGCACUGGACGGGAGUCAUGCUCACACCGCGCUCGGGCCACGCUGGCCUUUGAGUCCCCUGGUCUCAGAGCUUUGACCCAGGCUCUUCUCUCUGCCUAGAAUGUGCCCCAUCCCUGUUACCCGGUAAACUCUUACCCCUGCUUCAGCUCCCAGGUCAGAUAUUCCUCCCUUGGGGGGUCGCUUCUGGCUGGAAGACUAGAUCAGGCCCCUCGGCUGCACACUUUCCUAAGUGCACUUACAGCAGCUCCUCACCGUGCAAGCUGUGGGGUGCAGUGGAGGGUGAGCCUCGGGAAGCUGGCCGUGUCUGUUUUGCUCGACCUUUCAUCUAGCACAGGGCCUAGCAAAGAGGAGGCAGUGGGUGAGUGUUGCUGUUUAUGGGAUGCCAGUCAGGUCGGGGUGCCUCCUGUGGGUGUUGCCAGGAUCAGCCAGCUGGUUUUCCCCAGGAGACCUCUAUCCUGCAGUAACCUCUACAUUAAAAUGCUAAUAGGAAAGAAUGGAAGGGCUUCCUGACUUCCUGUGUAAACACUUAAAAGGGACUUCUGGAGACCACUCAUUUUGUCAUGUUCUGUCCCUGGGUAAUGACUUUAGGGUGGGACUUUCACGCUCUGAAGGAUAAAUAAACCCGUAGCAGGAGGGGGUGCAGGAUCUAUUUUAGGGUAGAGGAGAGGCCUGUUUCAGAACCUUUCAAAUUGCAGGGCCUAUCCUGGAAGUGUAGAAAAGGGUUUUUAAUAGGAGAGGAGCACUAUUUCAUUAUGUUAAAAUAAUGUUUACAAAGAAUUAGUAAGAAUGCUGCAAGAAA